GCCUUCGUAGUGUAGUGGUCAGCACGUUCGAUGCCUAUUCGAGAGAUCCGUGGUUCGAGUCCUGGCCACAGCA
rnacentral:tRNA from 1 species